rnacentral:rRNA from 1 species
UUGGAGGGCAAGUCUGGUGCCAGCAGCCGCGGUAAUUCCAGCUCCAAUAGCGUAUAUUAAAGUUGUUGCAGUUAAAAAGCUCGUAGUUGAAUUUCGGAGUUUGUCGGUCGGUCGGGCUUCACUGUCCGCACUGGCCUGACGGAUUCCUACCUUCUGAAUAACCAGCAUACUAUUAAGUUAGUGCGUUGGGGAAGCAGAGCUAUUACCUUGAAAAAAUUAGAGUGCUUAAAGCAGGCUUAUGCUUGAAUAGAUUAGCAUGGAAUAAUAAAAUAGGACGGCAUGGUUCUAUUUUGUUGGUUUCUAGGAUCACCGUAAUGAUUAAUAGGGAUAGUUGGGGGCAUUAGUAUUCAAUUGUCAGAGGUGAAAUUCUUGGAUUUAUUGAAGACUAACUUCUGCGAAAGCAUUUGCCAAGGAUGUUUUCAUUAAUCAAGAGCGAAAGUUAGGGGAUCGAAGACGAUCGGAUACCGUCGUAGUCUUAACCAUAAACUAUGCCGACUAGGGAUCGGACGAUGUUAAUUUUUUAAUGACUCGUUCGGCGCCUUACGGGAAAC